UUUAAUACAGUAAUUUUAUUAAAGUAAGUAUAAACCUAAAUUAUCUUUUGUUCUUAUAUUAAUUUCUACUCAUACCUCUUCACUCCCCUUUAAGUGUAUUGACGCUUCAUUUCUAGUGUGGAGAUACAGUUACUGGGCAGUGUGAGAAACUUUCCCUGGUCCCACGUAGUGAUCAAGAAGGACAAAGCUGGGAAUUUUUGGGCCACCUCUGGGGGUCUGUCUGGCACGGAGAUAAAAACUCUGAGGCUAGGUGCUUUUUAUUUGAUUGGUACACAUUAGUUCUAUGCAAUAAAGAGUUUUACUUCGGCUUAUUUAUCUCACAGUUCUUCGGGGGAUGGGCUGACACAGCACUGGCUCAGCUCUGGCUCAGCUCUGGCGAGAGAAUCCUGGCGACCAGGACAGCAGUGUAUGCAGGACCAGCUGUCUCGCUGACAGACAGAGGCCUGGAGAGCAGACAGAUUGUCUGAAACCUAUGACAUGAGCUGCACAUCACUGAUUGAGCCAGGAAGAAGCAGUGGGCCAAGGAGCACCCGGGUCUGAAGGACAGGACAGUUUCACCACAGCAGAGCCAGCCGCAGGGUACCCUCUCCAACACACACCGACUGCCCAAGCCCGGAGCUGCUGUACACCUUCCAGGACUUUGC
rnacentral:lncRNA from 1 species